CGGACAUGAAGUGGCGAACGGGUGAGUAACACGUGACCAACCUGCCCCUUGCUCCGGGACAACCUUGGGAAACUGAGGCUAAUACCGGAUACUCCUCGCCCCCCUCCCUGGGGGGCCCGGGAAAGCCCAGACGGCAAGGGAUGGGGUCGCGGCCCAUUAGGUAGUAGGCGGGGUAACGGCCCACCUAGCCCGCGAUGGGUAGCCGGGUUGAGAGACCGACCGGCCACAUUGGGACUGAGAUACGGCCCAGACUCCUACGGGAGGCAGCAUG
rnacentral:rRNA from 1 species